rnacentral:rRNA from 1 species
GACGAACGCUGGCGGCGUGCCUAAUACAUGCAAGUCGAACGAAGCAAUUAAGAUGAAGUUUUCGGAUGGAAUCUUGAUUGACUGAGUGGCGGACGGGUGAGUAACGCGUGGAUAACCUGCCUCACACUGGGGGAUAACAGUUGGAAACGACUGCUAAUACCGCAUAAGCCCACGACCCGGCAUCGGGUUGAGGGAAAAGGAGCAAUCCGCUUUGAGAUGGCCUCGCGUCCGAUUAGCUGGUUGGUGAGGUAACGGCCCACCAAGGCAACGAUCGGUAGCCGGACUGAGAGGUUGAACGGCCACAUUGGGACUGAGACACGGCCCAA